rnacentral:lncRNA from 1 species
CAAAAAAAAACCAUUGCAUUCAAUCCAGUGGUUUACUUCCAGAUCCUAGUGUAACAACCCUCAAACGGUGUAUCCGAAAUUUUAAAACAGCUCCUGGAAUACAAUUAAAAUAUUAUUAAAAUUAUCGCUCAACAAAUCAAAUGCAACGAAACUCCAAAUGGAAACUUAGCUGUCUUGUGCUUUGACGAGACGAAGCUCCCGACCAAUAUCUAAAAAGGGCUUUGGAUGUGACUAUGGAGUAAAUUUGGAUAUCGAGAAAGAUAUUCUUCAAAGUAUGAUAAAUGUGAUAGGAACAAUGAAGCAAAUUAAAAGAAAUAAAAAUGGUUAAGUGGUGUUGCCUAAGUCAUGGGCUUUUAAGCCCUACCAAAAGAGCAUGAUUAUUUCUUCAAAAUCUUCAAAAUCAUUGUAUCAAUACAUAAAUAAUGAAAUUGGCCUUCCAUAUAUAUAGGCAUCUCGUUUAAAUCAAGAUUGUCUAGAUAAUUUUUUUUCAAGAAUAAGGUAUAUUGGACGAACCAUUCUUAUCCUAAUGCGGUAGAGGGCAUGAAUCGAUUUUGGAUACUCACAAUAAAUGGCUCGGAAAAAGUUGUUGAGAAUGCUCCCAUCAGAUCUGAAGGAGACCAAUGUUUUGUUUCUUUGUUUCAACAAAUUACAAAUUAUGAUUGAUUCGAGGAUAAAUUAGAUGAUCAAAGUCUUGAUAAAAUUUCAUGUUAUCUUACAUCUCCUUUAAGGUCAUAUUUUGAGCAAAGCAAAUUCAGAAAAUAACAUUGAUCAAGAAAAGACAUUGAUAAUAUAAUUUAUCCUCAAAACAAUAAAGGUGAGAUUGAGGAAGAUAUAAAUAAUGAUGAAAAUACAAUAGAACAAUACUUUGUUAUACUUUCAGCAUCUAAGUUCCUCCAAGUCAAUGGCUUAAAACAUUGUCAAGAGGGGGACUGCUUCAACCGUCGGAAUCUUUUCUGGAAUUUUACAAAAAAAAAUAGAGAAGCAUUUCAUUGAGUUUCAUGAGAUUUUUCUGAUACCAAACCAUAUGUGAUGGAUCACCUCAUCAGCAUAAUUGUGGAAAAGUAUCCCAGGGAAAAAGAUGAAGUAAUAAAAAAAUUGCUUGCACUCGAACAUUCAUUAGACUAAAGUAUAUUAAUAUUGUAAACAAAAGUAGCAUAAAAAGAAAAAUAGCAAGUAACGUGCGAAAAACUGCUCAUUGCAUUAGUUAAAAAAUAGAAACGGAUAUUAUAUAUAUAUUUUAACUUUAAACAAUUAACUUUCUAAAUGUGAGUGCCUGUGUUCUAGCUAGGUCUAAAAACCUUGUCAAGCAAUUCCUGGGAAAUUGGAUGGCCUAUUUUUUUUCGAAGUAACAGUUUUCCUUUAACACAACAGUAAUGCUAUUUGGAGCGAAGUUUUCUUCUUUUGUCAAAUCCACAACGAGUCAAUAUGGGAACUGUUUGACAGCGGAUUAAUCAGUUCUAUUUCAAUAAAGUAUUCGUUUAAAGAUACUUAUGUUUAAUUAAAUCAUUACAUAGCAAUGCAUAUUAUGGUGUUUUUUUUAAAAUUCAUGAUACCUAGUAGAUGUAAUUAUGUUGUACUUUGUCAAAAUGACAUAUUCUUUAAUGUUGGAAGCGACGAAGUAACACGAUCUUUUGAUAGAUUGAACUCCCUACAUUCUCCAAGGAGUUUUCAUCUAAUAUCUUCCUAUUUGAUGAAGAAUGCUUAUGAUAAUUUAUAACCAUCCUAACAAUUUACAGUCAAUACAAAUAACUUAUAAGUAAAUACAAUAUAUAUGGAUUGAAUGUAUUGUUCUUGGAUUGAAUGAUAGAAUUGAUGAUGACAAGGUUUAAGAGUUAACACAGAAUAACUAAUAAGCCUUCAAUUUAGUUUUCCUGAUGGAUUAGAGUGAAAUCCGGCAAUCUUCUUCGUUCCUCGCUGUAAUCCACUAUGGCAAAGUGAUCCUCUAUAAAAACUAAGACUUAGCUUCAUAUGCUUCAUUAUGACGUAGAAGAUCCUCAAUGGAUUUGAAUGUCUUUAAAUAAAAUGAAGACCUUGUCAAAUUUUAGAAUCAGGAUAUAGAUUCUUUGGUUUUUUUUAUACGAUGGAAAAUGUAAACAAAAGACGCAACUACUUAUACACUAUGACAUCACUAUUAAAAGCGUGGUGGAAGUCAAACAUCAAUCGUAAACACGUUACCUUAUAUUUCUGUUAACCUUGCUAGAGAUUAGUUAUCGACCUUUGAACUUUAAGGAAUCAAGCGUUCAGACAGUCCUUGGAUUUUGUGCAAGGUAAUCUUUCAGCUAUUGUCAAGAGGUGACAUAAGAAAUUGGGGUCGGAAAGGGAAUUUUAUUAACUAAAUUAACAUAUAAUUAUGAUAAACCUCUUGCCUAUAAAGUGAAGUGAAAUAAUAAUAAUAAAAGAGAGAAAAUAUGCAUGUGUAAGCAAUUCAGUGAACUCACCUUAACAAGAGAUAAUUCUAAAGACCGGUUUACUGAUGGGUGAGCUCCUCUAAAAAUACCUACUAUUACUCUUGACGAAAUAUUUGAGAUAUAAAUGGGUAAUAUCCUCACUCUAUAAUAAUAAAUCUCAAUCUAACUCAAAUGACUGUUUCUGCUACUGGUAUAAUGUGGAGAGGGAAGUAUCUUUCAACUUCAGGAAAAAAUAAUACGUUGGAAUUAACAAAAGAUGAGCAUUAUGUCGAUUUAUGGACCUAAUAAUGACAAACUAUAGUUUUAUGGCUAUUUUGAUUCGGAAUUAUCUGUCUGACGAGGCUCUAAAAUUCAAGAAACCCUCAUCAUAUCGAGGAAUAUGAUCGUAGCUAUUAAUCAAAUUAGUGCUUAUUUUACCACUUGGAUAUCCAAUCUUCAAGCCUUCUGAUAAUCUCUUCAAUGGCAUGGUAUGUUCAAGGGAUCUUGCCUCUUUCUGCUUCACUUGGUGGAUCUCAUUCCCUUUAAUGGAAGAAUCGUUCAUUGUGCAGAUGCUCCUUUACAUCAAUGUCUGUGGUAGUGACUUCUGACCUCGUGAAUCAUUGUUUCUAUACUAAAGAAUACAUAAAUUCCUCCAGAUAUUCGUCAUAUACUUCUACAUAUAAAAACUAUGUAGUUCUAUUAAACGACAGAAUAAUCGACUGAAAGAUCCAGAGAGAUUGUAAUCCUCCAUCCACUGCUCCCUCUUUGAAAUUAUUGAGUCUUUUUCUUCUUAAGUCAAGUCUGCUUGGUCUCCUACUCUAAGAAAAAUAUUUCAUUGAUAAGUGUUCUUGAUGUAUAUAACACAGAAAUAACUAAUCUCAAUCACAUUGAUAUCAAUUCAAUUUAUUAGGUGGAGUAUAUGAUGUAUGGUAUAUAUGGAUAAUUAUAUAAAGGUGACACUUUAAGCCUCAUCCUGAAUAGGGAUUUCUUUCAUAUUUGUGAUUCUCUUUUGUCAUUGGAAAACAAGUGGAUGUUGGUUACACACUCUUAAAGAUCAAAAUCAUCAUAGGCUUUUAGUGUCAAAGUUUUAUUAUAUUGCAAUGUCAAAUAAAGUUCACAUUGUUGAUACCAUAUUUGAAAGUUAUUCUAUUGGGAAAAUACUAAAAUGUGGAACCGAAAGAGAUAAUUACGAAAGUUGAAGAAUGGAUUUCUUAUAAUGUAUCCUAUUCCUAUAAGUUUAAAUUUACGAAUAUUGCUCUUUGUACUAAGGACUUAGAUUUUUAAAAGCUUUGCUCGCUUCUUCGUUAAUUUGCAUUAAAGUAGUUUCCUACUUUAAUGUUGUUUGAUGUGGUUGUUUAACCAAGAGAUAUAGUGAUACUAAGGCAAGAAGAAGAGUGAAUAAAUUGUGAAAUGAAUCUUGAAUUCGUUAUAUGCGUUAUUAUUUUUAUAAUAUUUUAGCAAGAUUGCGUCUUUUAGAG